AUUAUCACUGAUUUUAUGCCAAUAUGGCUAUAUUACAUAACAAAACUUAUCACAAGUUGAUCACGCCUUAUUCGUGGUCAUGGCACAAUAUAUCCUGAUGCCGAAAAUUAAGAUCGCGACCUCUUAAAAUCGAAAUUCUUACCAUGCUUACAAGCGGAGCGUCGGCGGGGAGGUUUGCAAAUGGCGUCUAGUUAGGACCGCCCUCCCUCAUACGUCAUAGCUCUGACGUCAUCCUAGGCUCGAUCGUUCAUUGGUUAAUCAAGACUGUCCGGGUCGAGACCUUGUCCGGGUCGUGACCACACGACCCUACCACUUCAACAGCCAUCACCACCACCAACCUCGUGCCCUGAUACCUCUUACAAGGAGCCAUGCGUAUACCAAAUCACUUAUCAUCAUUACUUUACGUUCACCACCAAGUUCACCCUCAUAUACUCCCUUGGGCUAGGUUAAGAAAGGAGCUCAUUCAUAGCCCCACCCUGAAACCCCCCCAAAUCACUUAUCAUCUUUAUUUUACGUUCACCACCAAGUUCACCCUCAUAUACUCCCUUGGGCUAGGUUAAGAAAGGAGCUCAUUCAUAGCCCCACCCUGAAACCCCCCCAAAUCACUUAUCAUCUUUAUUUUACGUUCACCACCAAGUUCACCCUCAUAUACUCCCUUGGGCUAGGUUAAGAAAGGAGCUCAUUCAUAGCCCCACCCUGAAACCCCUCUUGGCUCAGUGGCACAUGAAGAGGAGGAGCUGGGAGGCCGAAACAGUAUCCGCAGCCCUCGCCUCACAUUCAUAGCUGCCACAGUCCUGGGCGCGGAAAUCCU